CGCCCGGGUGGCGCUGAAAUACUGCGACUUAAAAAGCUGAAGUCUCUGGAGGUGGAAGCUGCUAAAUGUUCAAAAUUGUCACCUAUCUGGUGCUGGGGUUACCACCCCAACAAGUGCUGCUGCGCCGGGAGACGAGCGAGUGGAGGCAUAUAUGGUAAGUAACGUUAGCCAGGGGCUAGCUAGGCUACAUUUUGAGUCUUGUCCAAAACAAAGUCGAAACGUUUUUACAUUGAAUGUGAUGUGACCUAAUUAACUGCAUACUUGUGACAACAUAUUAGCCCAGAGUUGAAGGGCUGUGACUGUUGGUAGUUUUGGUAGAUUUUGUUUAAAGAUGCCGAAUUGUGAUAUUAUGGGUUAUUAUUGUUCAGAUGAUUUAGCUAAGCUAGCUAACAGCUGCUAGUAAGCAGUCUCUUGUUGCCAUAGCAACAGUAAACAUUGACAUGGAGUAAUGAGCUGUAAAUAGAGAUGUAGAAUCAAGCUGUAUUGUAAAUACAGAUGAGAUACUUUGAAUUUUAGCACAAAAUACAAGUAAACCUGUAGGAAAUAAUUAGUUUAAUUUGCAAUAUUUGCCAUCGAAUUUAUUGUAAUCUUUCAAUUAAUUUAUUAUUUACUGAGGUGAUAACAAUUGUGUAGGUAGGGCCUAUAAUUAGUGUGUAACUUUAAUUUCUGUGUAAAUGUGUUACUUUUACUGUAGAUUUCAAAUGGCUGUGUAUAGUGCUGUCAUGAGCAUUUUCAGGUAUUGUCACCAUGAUCUGACCUUUUUGGAUUGGAAAACACUAGUGUCAUAAUCAAAGCAUGACAAAGCCAUUAGUGUUGUUACGCUCGUGAACGUUUAGUUCAAUAUGAACUCAUAUUUUAUCUUGUACAUUAUUCUUUGGUUUUGAGUUAUUUCCCCAUCAAAUGAUAAAUGCUUUCCCUAUGUCCAGCCCAGGCAGGUUCAGGGCAAGGCCAGCAGUUCAGGGAGAGAGCCAGACCAAUGCAGGCAGCCCAAAGACUGCACCACCUGAGAGGGAAAAGGCUGUAGAGAGUGAAGAGUGUGUCAGCCUUCACUGCACCAAAGUUUGGCUGUUGAGUCACCUCUAUUAUGGUUGACCACUCGAUAUGUGAGAGCCUGAGGAGUUGUUCCCCCUCCGUCCAUUUUCAAGGACUUGCUCUCUUACUGCCUCCACUUCAGCACUUUUUGUUUAUUUUGCAACUUGUUUUGUAAAAUAAAAGGUUUGAUUAUGAUUAUUUCCUGGUUCAAGAUUUUCAUAUUGAUGAUUUUAAUUUCAAACAUCUGCAUAUCUUUUAAGUUCUGCAGAUAAGCCUUAGGGCUUUUUUGAGACUUAAGUCAUCCUUCAUGACAGAUAAAUUUGUUCACUAAGUGUCACUACAUCACAAAAAGGCUACAUGGCUGCAUAUACUUGUCAGUACACAGAUACUGAGUACAAGCUCUGUUCGCUGUUGCUCUUGCAGGUCAUGAAUUUGGUGAGGAGUGUAGCUUGCUGGUUGCGGACGAGGAAGUAGGGCAAUAUAUACAUAUGCACAUGCACGUAUAUGAUAAUGCAUAUCUAUUCAGACCUGUAAUCAUGUCUUAGACUUAUUCACAGAGCUAUAGAUUUAUUUUAUUUAUUUUAUUC
rnacentral:lncRNA from 1 species